CACGAACCGUCCAAACGUUAUUCGGAAUUAUUGGGCUUAAAGGGUGCGUAGGCGGCGCUUUAAGUCGGGUGUGAAAUCCUUCGGCUCAACCGAAGAAUUGCGCCCGAUACUGGGGUGCUAGAGGGAGACAGGGGUGAGCGGAACUGAUGGUGGAGCGGUGAAAUGCGUUGAUAUCAUCAGGAACACCGGUGGCGAAAGCGGCUCACUGGGUCUCUUCUGACGCUGAGGCACGAAAGCCAGGGUAGCGAACGGG
rnacentral:rRNA from 2 species